GACGAACGCUGGCGGUGCGCCUAACACAUGCAAGUCGAACGGUGAACCGGGCUUCGGCCCGGGGAUCAGUGGCGAACGGGUGCGUAACACGUGGGCAACCUGCCCCCGACCCUGGGAUAACCCCGGGAAACCGGAGCUAAUACCGGAUACUCUCCUCCGACCGCGUGGUCGGAUGAGGAAAGGUCCGCCGGGCGGGGAUGGGCCCGCGGCCUAUCAGCUCGUUGGUGGGGUAACGGCCUACCAAGGCGACGACGGGUAGCUGGUCUGAGAGGACGACCAGCCACACUGGGACUGAGACGCGGCCCAGACUCCUACGGGAGGCAGCAGUGGGGAAUCUUGCGCAAUGGGCGAAAGCCUGACGCAGCGACACCGCGUGGGGGACGAAGGCCUUUCAGGUCGUAAACCCCUUUCGGCAGGGACGAAGCGAUCUCGUGACGGUACCUGCAGAAGAAGCCUCGGCUAACUACGUGCCAGCCGCCGCAGUAAAAC
rnacentral:rRNA from 1 species